rnacentral:lncRNA from 10 species
GAAUAUUUAAAAUAUGGCUAGUGUGACUGGGAGCUGAAGUUUCCAUUUUAUUUAGACUUAACUAGCUCAAAUUUAAAUAGCCACAUGUAACUUAUGGCUUGGUAUUGGACAGCAUAGAACAUCUAUAGAAAAUCAAAAGCAGUGGGUAAAAAAUGAGGAAUCAGAAGAAGGGUCUCAUUCUGUUGCCCAGGCUGGAGUGUGGUGGCAUGAUCAUAGUGUAGCAGGACAAGCCACGGACAAAACCUCUCAGACACGGCCAAAUAAAGCCAAAUCCUUCCUUAACCCACUGUCUGAGAGCUCGGUUUUUGAGACGUGAGUCUGAUGAAGCUCCUGGCCAAAUAAAUUCUUCAGAGAGCUGGGUUCUUGAGGCGCUAGUCUGCCGAAGCUCCCGGACGUUGAGACGUGAGUCUGCCGAAGCUCCUGGCAAAAUAAAGCCAAA